UCUGAGUUUCGUUGGGCACAACCGAAGUUGUGACCAACAAAAGUUUGUGCCUUGCGAUUUUUCUUGAUUAUUGAGUUAUUUUGAGCCAAAAACAUUAUAGAAAGUGUGUCGAUAUAUGUGAUUUAUAUAAUAUUUAUCGAGAAACAUGGUGAUAUGUUAUAUCUUGGGCUGUAAAAGCCGUAGUGAGCGAAAAUGUGAAAACAUAAACUUUCAUACGUAAGUACGACUUUUUAUGGAAUAAUAUGUUCUGAUUUACAAAAAUAUCGAUAAGGUUAUCUUAAUGGCUUAUUAAUACGUGAGGAAUCGUGUCUGAAUUAGUGAAAUAAAGUGUUUAAAAUAUAUUUUGUAUUUACUGCGAUGGUACUAUUAUACGACCAAAUUCAGAUGCUAAACAUUUUAGUGGCUGCCUAAGUCUUUCAUUACUUUUAAUUUUUAUAGGGUUAUACGAUUUUUAGGGUUACCAGUUAAUAAUGGGGAAAUUACCCAAAUGUUAUGUAUUUAUUUUAUUUAUCAUAAAAUACGCUAAGGAUAAAUGUCUUUUUUUAUUUUUCUUCUGAUGAUCUGAGUAUGUGCAUUUAAUAGAGUUAAUUAUUUUAGAUUUCCAAAAGAUUCUACGAUCCGGCAAAUAUGGAUACGUGCAACAAGACGAGAUAACUGGAUUCCAAGUAAAUAUGCAAGAAUAUGCGCCAAACACUUUGAACGAAAUUGUUUUAGGAAAACUUCUCGCAACGUUUAUUUGAAAGCGUACUCGGUUCCGACGCUACAUAUUACUGCUAAGAAGAGUCAUGAUGUUAUAGAAAUUCCAACCACAUCGUCUGCUGCGAUGGAAAUUGACAGAAAUCCUGUCGAUACCGUGACACCGAGAAAAAAGAAACUUAUAAGGAAAUUAGAGUGCCAAACAGUGUUAGCCGAAUCGCGAAAAAAGAAGCUGGCUAUACUGAGAUCAAA